CUUAUGGCAAAAAGUCUUAUUACACCAUCAACAAUAUUCUUCAAAAUAAUAAUAUUAUAUUAUAAAUCAUGCAUAAACUAAUAAUUCAGCCACAACAUUAAAACCACCAACCUAAUAUUCUGUAGGUCCUCCUCAUGUUGCUAAAAUAGCUCUAAUGCAUCACGGACUCCACAAGACAUCUAAAUGUUUCCUGUGGAAUCUGGCACAUACAUAUUAGCAGCAGAUCCUUUAAGUCCUAAAAUCUGGGGAAGUUGGAGGAAGAGGCUAAUCAAAAAUAUACUCCUCAUAAACUAGACUUCUUAGCUACUAGCCUGCAUGUUUUCUUUAGAAAAAAGUUGUUUCAGAUGGUAUAUUAUAGCACUAGAAGAAACGUACAACAAAUGCAAGGUCAUCCAUUGAGACUGGAAGAAAGGUAUUUUUGCUUACAGAAGAUGAAAG